UGCCGGGGACAUUGUUUGGUGGGUAGUUUGACUGGGGUGGUCGCCUCCAAAAAGGUAACGGAGGCUUUCAAAGGUAAGCUCAGUACGCUUGGUAACCGUACGCGGAGUGCAAUGGCAAAAGCUUGCUUGACUGUGAGACCAACAAGUCGAUCAGGGUCGAAAGACGGACAUAGUGAUCCGGUGGUUCCGCAUGGAAGGGCCAUCGCUCAAAGGAUAAAAGGUACUCUGGGGAUAACAGGCUGAUCUCCCCCAAGAGCUCAUAUCGACGGGGAGGUUUGGCACCUCGAUGUCGGCUCGUCACAUCCUGGGGCUGGAGAAGGUCCCAAGGGUUGGGCUGUUCGCCCAUUAAAGUGGCACGCGAGCUGGGUUCAGAACGUCGCGAGACAGUUCGGUCCCUAUCUGUUGUGGGCGUUGGAAGUUUGAGUGGGUCUGGCCUUAGUACGAGAGGACCGGGCUGGACGCACCUCUGGUGAACCAGUUAUGCCGCCAGGUGUACUGCUGGGUAGCUACGUGCGGUCAGGAUAAGCGCUGAAAGCAUCUAAGUGCGAAACCUGCCACGAGAUAAGGCUUCCUUACAGGGCCGUGGGAGACUACCACGU
rnacentral:rRNA from 1 species